AACAAACGCUGGCGGCGUGUCUUAAGCAUGCAAGUUGAGCGGCAAGGAGGAGAGAUCCUCCCUAGAGCGGCGGACUGGUGAGUAACGCGUGGGUAAUCUAUCGUAGGCAUGGGGAUAGUCACUAGAAAUAGUGGGUAAUACCGAAUACGUUCCAUGAGGGGAGUACUUAUGGAAGAAAGGGUGCUAUGGCACUGGCCUUAGGUGAGCUCGCGUCCCAUUAGCUAGUUGGUGAGGUAAAGGCCCACCAAGGCGAUGAUGGGUAGCCGGCCUGAGAGGGUGUACGGCCACACUGGGACUGAGAUACGGCCCAGACUCCUACGGGAGCAGCAGCUAAGAAUAUUCCGCAAUGGACGAAAGUCUGACGGAGCGACGCCGCGUGGAUGAAGAAGGCCGAAAGGUUGUAAAGUUCUUUUGCUAGGGGAGAAUAAGUGAGGGAGGGAAUGCCCUCAUGAUGACAAGGACUAGCGAAUAAGCCCCGGCAACUACGUGCCAGC
rnacentral:rRNA from 1 species